CGAGGGGCAUCAGUUUGGUUUGCUUGCAACCAAAGCUGGCGACCGGCGCACGGGUGAGUAACACGUAUCCAACCUGCCUCAUACUCGGGGAUAGCCUUUCGAAAGAAAGAUUAAUAUCCGAUAGCAUAUAUUUCCCGCAUGGGUUUUAUAUUAAAGAAAUUCGGUAUGAGAUGGGGAUGCGUUCCAUUAGUUUGUUGGCGGGGUAACGGCCCACCAAGACUACGAUGGAUAGGGGUUCUGAGAGGAAGGUCCCCCACAUUGGAACUGAGACACGGUCCAAACUCCUACGGGAGGCAGCAGUGAGGAAUAUUGGUCAAUGGAGGCGAGUCUGAACCAGCCAAGUAGCGUGAAGGAUGACUGCCCUAUGGGUUGUAAACUUCUUUUAUAUGGGAAUAAAGUGGUCCACGUGUGGAUUUUUGUAUGUACCAUAUGAAUAAGGAUCGGCUAACUCCGUGCCAGCAGCCGCGGUAAUACGGAGGAUCCGAGCGUUAUCCGGAUUUAUUGGGUUUAAAGGGAGCGUAGGCGGAUUGUUAAGUCAGUUGUGAAAGUUUGCGGCUCAACCGUAAAAUUGCAGUUGAUACUGGCAGUCUUGAGUGCAGUAGAGGUGGGCGGAAUUCGUGGUGUAGCGGUGAAAUGCUUAGAUAUCACGAAGAACUCCGAUUGCGAAGGCAGCUCACUGGAGUGUAACUGACGCUGAUGCUCGAAAGUGUGGGUAUCAAACAGGAUUAGAUACCCUGGUAGUCCACACAGUAAACGAUGAAUACUCGCUGUUUGCGAUAUACAGUAAGC
rnacentral:rRNA from 1 species